rnacentral:rRNA from 1 species
UACGAAGGGGGCUAGCGUUGCUCGGAAUUACUGGGCGUAAAGCGCACGUAGGCGGACCGAUAAGUCGGGGGUGAAAUCCUGGAGCUCAACUCCAGAACUGCCUUCGAAACUGCCGGUCUUGAGUUCGGGAGAGGUGAGUGGAACUGCGAGUGUAGAGGUGAAAUUCGUAGAUAUUCGCAAGAACACCAGUGGCGAAGGCGGCUCACUGGCCCGAUACUGACGCUGAGGUGCGAAAGCGUGGGGAGCAAAC